CUUCCGGUUGAUCCCGCCCGACCUGACUGCUAUCGGAUUGGUACUAAGCCAUGCGAGUCAUUGUAGCAAUACAAGGCGGACGGCUCAGUAACACGUAGUCAACCUAACUCGUGGACGUGGAUAACCUCGGGAAACUGAGAAUAAACCACGAUAGAUCAUAGUGCCUGGAAUGGCUUAUGGUCCAAACAGUUUACUGCCAUGGGAUGGGACUGCGGCCUAUCAGCUUGUUGGUGAGGUAAUGGCCCACCAAGGCGAUUACAGGUACGGGCUCUGAGAGGAGAAGCCCGGAGAUGGGUACUGAGACACGGACCCAGGCCCUAUGGGGCGCAGCAGGCGAGAAACCUUAGCAAUGUGCGAAAGCACGACUGGGUCAGUCCGAGUGAUUCCUGAUAAAGGAGUCUUUUGCUUGUCCUAAAAGCACAGGUGAAUAAGGGGUGGGCAAGUCUGGUGUCAGCCGCCGCGGUAAUACCAGCACCUCGAGUGGUCAGGACGUUUAUUGGGCCUAAAGCAUCCGUAGCCGGCUUUGCAAGUCUUCGGUUAAAUCCACCUGCUCAACAGAUGGGCUGCUGGAGAUACUACAAAGCUAGGGAGUGGGAGAGGCAGACGGUAUUCAGUGGGUAGGGGUAAAAUCCACUGAUCCAUAGAGGACCACCAGUGGCGAAGGCGGUCUGCCAGAACACGUUCGACGGUGAGGGAUGAAAGCUGGGGGAGCAAACCGGAUUAGAUACCCGGGUAGUCCCAGCUGUAAACGAUGCAAACUCGGUGAUGCAUUGGCUUAUGGCCAAUGCAGUGCCGCAGGGAAGCCGUUAAGUUUGCCGCCUGGGAAGUACGGACGCAAGUCUGAAACUUAAAGGAAUUGGCGGGGGAGCA
rnacentral:rRNA from 1 species